rfam:Oryctolagus cuniculus chromosome 12, whole genome shotgun sequence.
CCAAAGGCCCUUUUCAGGGCCACCCAAGUUCUCCCGUAAGAGAGCU